rnacentral:rRNA from 1 species
GUAACGGCGAGUGAAGCGGCAACAGCUCAAAUUUGAAAUCUGGCUCUUUUAGGGUCCGAGUUGUAAUUUGCAGAGGGCGCUUUGGCAUUGGCAGCGGUCCAAGUUCCUUGGAACAGGACGUCACAGAGGGUGAGAAUCCCGUACGUGGUCGCUAGCUAUUGCCGUGUAAAGCCCCUUCGACGAGUCGAGUUGUUUGGGAAUGCAGCUCUAAAUGGGAGGUAAAUUUCUUCUAAAGCUAAAUACUGGCCAGAGACCGAUAGCGCACAAGUAGAGUGAUCGAAAGAUGAAAAGCACUUUGGAAAGAGAGUCAAACAGCACGUGAAAUUGUUGAAAGGGAAGCGCUUGCAGCCAGACUUGCCUGUAGUUGCUCAUCCGGGCUUUUGCCCGGUGCACUCUUCUACGGGCAGGCCAGCAUCAGUUUGGGCGGUUGGAUAAAGGUCUCUGUCAUGUACCUCUCUUCGGGGAGGCCUUAUAGGGGAGGCGACAUACAACCAGCCUGGACUGAGGUCCGCGCAUUUUGCUAGGAUGCUGGCGUAAUGGCUGUAAGCGGCCG